UACGUAGGGUGCGAGCGUUAAUCGGAAUUACUGGGCGUAAAGCGUGCGCAGGCGGUGAUGUAAGUCAGGUGUGAAAUCCCCGGGCUUAACCUGGGAACUGCAUUUGUGACUGCAUCGCUGGAGUGCGGCAGAGGGGGAUGGAAUUCCGCGUGUAGCAGUGAAAUGCGUAGAUAUGUGGAGGAACACCGAUGGCGAAGGCAAUCCCCUGGGCCUGCACUGACGCUCAUGCACGAAAGCGUGGGGAGCAAACAGG
rnacentral:rRNA from 1 species